GGGAGGUAGUGACAAUAAAUAACAAUACGGGGUUCUUCCGGAUCUCGUAAUUGGAAUGAGUACAAUUUAAAUCUCUUAACGAGGAACAAUUGGAGGGCAAGCCUGGUGCCAGCAGCCGCGGUAAUUCCAGCUCCAAUAGCGUAUAUUAAAGUUGUUGCAGUUAAAAAGCUCGUAGUUGAAUUUCGGGGUUCUACCGUUGGUCGGGCAAUUGUCUGUACUGGCGUGUGGAAUUUCUACCUUCUGGGGAACCAUCAUGUUAUUAAUUUAGCGUGGUGGGAAACCAGGACCUUUACCUUGAAAAAUUAGAGUGUUCAAAGCAGGCUUACGUCUGAAUACAUUAGCAUGGAAUAAUAAAAUAGGACGGUGGUCCUGUUUUGUUGGUUUCUGAAUCACCGUAAUGAUUAAUAGGGAUAGUUGGG
rnacentral:rRNA from 1 species